UAUAGAACUGCUGUUUGAGUCCUCAGUCAUGGACUUAAUGAUACACCCCCACCAGGUCUGUCAUGGUGAUAUAAUCACACUGUUAAUCAGACCCAUGGGCCGUGCCCGUCAGACGAGGGUAAAGUACUGUAGGUCUUUAUUACACACACACCACUAGCCAGGACAAACCAGAGAAAACACUAGUCUCUCUCUCUCACACUGUUAAUCAGACCCAUGGGCCGUGCCCGUCAGACGGACAGAGGGUAAAGUACUGUAGGUCUUUAUUACACACACACCACUAGCCAGGACAAACCAGAGAAAACACUAGUCUCUCUCUCUCACACUGUUAAUCAGACCCAUGGGCCGUGCCCGUCAGACGGACAGAGGGUAAAGUACUGUAGGUCUUUAUUACACACACACCACUAGCCAGGACAAACCAGAGAAAACACUAGUCUCUCUCUCUCACACUGUUAAUCAGACCCAUGGGCCGUGCCCGUCAGACGGACAGAGGGUAAAGUACUGUAGGUCUUUAUUACACACACACCACUAGCCAGGACAAACCAGAGAAAACACUAGUCUCUCUCUCUCACACUGUUAAUCAGACCCAUGGGCCGUGCCCGUCAGACGGACAGAGGGUAAAGUACUGUAGGUCUUUAUUACACACACACCACUAGCCAGGACAAACCAGAGAAAACACUAGUCUCUCUCUCUCACACUGUUAAUCAGACCCAUGGGCCGUGCCCGUCAGACGGACAGAGGGUAAAGUACUGUAGGUCUUUAUUACACACACACCACUAGCCAGGACAAACCAGAGAAAACACUAGUCUCUCUCUCUCACACUGUUAAUCAGACCCAUGGGCCGUGCCCGUCAGACGGACAGAGGGUAAAGUACUGUAGGUCUUUAUUACACACACACCACUAGCCAGGACAAACCAGAGAAAACACUAGUCUCUCUCUCUCACACUGUUAAUCAGA